AGCUCGGUUGAGGGUUCUGGAGCCAGUGACCACAGACUUAGAAAUAAACUGAGCUGGGCACACACGAUGGAUACCCAGGGUUCCACAGCGGCUAUGUCUCCUUCAGCUCCACCCCAAAACUGCUCUGGGAUUACAAAUUCUAGAUCCAUCUCUUCUUACAACACCUGCCAUCAUGGAGGCCCUGAAGCCAACAGCUGCCAGCCGACUGGCCAGGGCCGAGGUUGCCAAUCCACUCUCUGCAUUUGCUGCAUCCCCAGCAAUCUGAUGAGCAGCUUUAGCAGCCGCCCCUGUCUGGAUAACUGUGCCUGGCACUGGGAAGGAAUCAACAGUCAUGAGAAAGAGACCAUGCAGCUCUUGAACGACCGCCUUGCUAACUAUCUGGAAACGGUACGAAAGCUGGAAGGAGAGAAUGCAGCCCUGGAAUGCAGGAUCCGGGAAGUGCGCGAUCAAGAGGGUCCUGCCGUGUGUCCUGAGUACCUGUCCUACUUCGCCACCAUCGAAAAGCUGCAGCAGAAGAUCUUGUGCACCAAGGCUGAGAAUUCCAGGCUGGUCUCACAAAUUGACAACACCAAACUGACCGCAGAUGACUUAAGAGCCAAGUACGAAGCCGAGGUGUCCCUGCGGCAGCUUGUGGAUGCAGACACCAAUGCCCUGCAGCAGAUCCUGGAUGCGCUGGCGCUGGGCAAGGCUGACCUGGAGGUGCGAGUCCAGUCCCUGAAGGAGGAGCUGCUCUGCUUGAAAACCAACCACGAGGAGGAAGUCAGUUCGCUGCAGAGUCAGCUUGGGGACAGACUCACUAUCGAAGUGACUGCUGCCCCUUCUGUGGACCUAACCCAAGUUCUCCAGAAAAUGAGGUGUCAGUACGAGUCCAUCAUGGAGACAAACCGUAAGGACGUGGAACAGUGGUUCAGCGCACAGAUGGAGGAGCUGAGCCAGCAGGUGGUAGCCCGAGCUCACCAGCAACAGUGCUGUCAGGCAGAGCUCACGGAGCUGAGACGCACCUUGACCGCCCUGGAGGUUGAACGGCAGGCCCAGCACCGAAUGAGAGAUUCCCAAGAACGCAUCCUAGAGGAGACGGAGGCCCGCUACACCACCCUGCUCUCCCAGAUCCAGGGUCUGAUCCACAGCGUGGAGGGUCAGCUGGCCGAGAUCCGAGGCGCCCUGGAAAGGCAGAACCAAGAAUACGAGAGCCUGCUGGACACCAAGUCCCGGCUGGAGUGUGAGAUCACCACCUACCGCAGCCUGCUGGAGAGCUGGGACUGCACGCUGCCUUGUUAUCCCUGUGCCACCAAAUCUGAGCCUUCAGUUGGUGGGAGCUGCAAUGUCAAAGUCAGGGAAUGCCCUGCCCCGGUGUACACGUCCUCGGUCCCCACUGUGACAUGCAAGACCUGUGGACCCCUGUCCCCGAUCCUGGUUAAAAUAUGCACCAUCACCAAGGAGAUCAAGGAUGGGAAGGUCAUUUCGUCUUACGAACACGUGCAACCUUGCUACAUCACCCGAUCCGCCCAAGUCUGAUGCCCAAGGUGAUGGACAUGACCCGCAUUCAUGAAAGAGAGGCCAGUGCAUGCUCCUGCCAGAAAGGUUUAAGCCCCAGGCCCACCAGGGAAUGGGAAUUUGAUCUGAGUUUUGAUAAGUGUAGCUGGGAUUCUCAAGACAAAGCCCCGUUGGUUGACAGUGAAAAACACCUUAGCUUCCUGCUUUGCAUCCGUCAGAGGGACCUGGACCUAACAGCCACAAACUCUGCAGAACAGCAGUGCAGGCGCACAGCAGCCCCGCGGGAGAGGACCCGUUUCUGUACCAGCCUGCUUCCCACCGUAGCACCGCAGAGCAUAAAACUCACACCCCACAGAGACCAUUCAUUGGUCGUUUCUGAGUGUUUUAGUGAAUAAUUCCAAACUCGACACAGAAUGUGGAAUCCAAAGACCUGAAGCCUUAAAUUUGUCCCUUCCCAGCAGUGACCUCGCACCAAACUUUUCAUCAUACUCAAAUUCAUUUGCCAAUCUGCUGAAAGAGGAUCGUGCCUGCAUCGCAGGGCGGCUGUAAGCAGGGCGGCUGUAAGAGUCCAUGAGGAACCGAGGAACUGUUUCUGUCCCCUGCCCUGUAUGCUGCAAAGCACCACAGGAACUCGAGCUCUCUAUAAACUUUGCUUUUAGCUGCAGCCUGAGAUCUGGUUUGGUCAGGAUUGUCUCAUCUUAAAAAUGCUUUCUCUGUAAAUUUUUGGGAAUUUUAAUAGUGUUUAGCUUGGUGGGGAACAUAUCUCAGUCCUACUCAACAAAGCAGCUCUGAAUUCUUGGGCUGUGUGUCACGUACCAGCCAAUGCCACAUCAAAGACACUCACAUUAUUUAUCUUGCAGCUGGGUAAGGGAGGUGCUUUUCCUGAGGACAAGUAGUGCCUGACCCCAAGCUAGUAGAGUGCUAGACCCCAGGGUAAUCGAUCUCUUUACUGCCAGACUUCUCUCGUUGCACAGAAUACUUCGGUCAGCAGUGACUGCAUACCACCUCAGGCCACAGGGUGGGAAGAGCAUAGAACUUGUUCUGGGAACCCUUGGGAGGGAGUCACAAAGCAACUGUGUGUGUGCCUUGAAGUAAAAGGGACUUAAUAAUGUAGGUCCUGCCUCACCUGGGGCGGAAAAGUUAAAUGGGCUUAUAAUGGACUCGGGGUCUUAGAAAAUCUAAAGCAUUGCGCAGAAAAAAUUCUCUAAUUUCUUUUUUCGGUACUGGGGAUUGAACCUAUGGACUUUGCACUGAGUACAUCCCCAGCCCUUUCUUGUCUUUUAUGUUUAUUUUGAGAUAGGGUCUUGCUGAUCUGAGCUUGAACUUGAGAUCCUCCUGUCUCAGCCUCCCACAGGGUACUAGCAACACAGGUUCAUGUCCUCAUUACACCUGGUCUAAUUCUUUAAAUUAAAAGCCAGACAUAGGUCAGAUCCACGCAUACUUUUUUUCCUUUCUGUAGGAUUCAGUUUUGUACUGGGAGGAUCCCAAUGUAUACCAUUCCCAUUAACCAGAAAACCAAUUAACAAGAGGGCAGAGCCCCUCGACUUGCUCUGAGCUUCUGAUUCCAGCUAGGUUUAGAGCUGAGGGACAGCAGAGAUCACAGACCGAUCUCAGGCUGACCCUUAACGCCACUCCCCACUUAUCCUAGAGAAAAGACAUCUUCCUCCCCAUCAGUGCACGGGAUCCCCAGGUCUUCUACGGUACAAAUGGGUCACUAUGUACCCCACAGUGAAGAGAGAAUUUUUUGAAAGCUUCAGAGUAUUUUUCCCCCUGAGAUGAUCUUCUUUGUAAGCCAGAAUGUAAACCCACCUGAAGGGCCUGGUUCACAUGUGGUCCAGCCUCGUACAGGCAGCAGGAAGCCCUGGUUUUACUGGGAAGCUGAGUGUCCUUUCCGGCCACCGGAGGGAGUGAAAGCUUUCUUGGGGUGCAGGUCAUCAGCUCAGUGGCUGGGCUGGCGGCAGGAGCAGAGAGGACUUCACACAAGUCUGAUUUCGGCACAGCUCCAAAGGCAGCCCGGAAUCAGGACACACAGAGUGGUCUCGGAGGCCAAGACUACAUCAUGUCUCUCUACGUCUCACUGCAAAGGUCAUCGUCACAUUUCUAACACGGGGGACAGCUGACAGACACUUUUCCUAGAUUGUGUCUUUCCGCAUUCUGACUCUCCCUGAUGUAUCGUAGGGGGCUUAAACUUUCCCCAGUAGGGGGGUGGCCACGCUUUCCUCUGGCCCUCAGCUGCCCCUGCCCAGGGACCCCCUCUGCCCUCUGCACGUGACACACAGCCUCUCCCUUCUUGCUGCUGAUUCCAGCAGUCACUGCCUGGACUUCUCCCCAAGGGCUCAGUGAGGGGAACCCCGCUAGACUGUCCCUCAGGCCACCCAGCAACCACUGGCAACCACACACCCUGUGGAGCUCAUAGUAUGAACCCAGACCUCCUGCCAUAGCACGUCAGGGGCCAGAAUCCAGAUUUUUAACCAAACUUCCAGCUGCAGUCUAUGCACUGAAUUCAAAGUCACAGUCAUAAAUCACUAGUGACUUUCUGGCUUAACGAUUCAGAUAACUCAAUCUCUUUUGCUUCUUAAAUUAAUGCAAAUCAAUGCAUAUUAACAGUUUGUAUCAAUGGGAUUCCUUGUGAUAUUUAUAUGCAUGCCUACUGUAUGCUCUGAUCAAAUCCAUCCACCCUUCUUUAUGUACUUCUGUUCAAGAUUCUGAUUCUAUCUUCGUGAGUACCACUGCACACAGUUCCUCCUCUGCAUGUCUAUCCCUGUCCAUACAGUGGGAUCAAUCAAUAACAAUCAAUAAUUUAAUGU